rnacentral:rRNA from 1 species
CUCUCCCUCUUUCGUCAGGCCUAACACAUGCAAGUCGAACGAACUCUUCGGAGUUAGUGGCGGACGGGUGAGUAACACGUGGGAACGUGCCUUUUGGUUCGGAAUAACUCAGGGAAACUUGUGCUAAUACCGAAUGUGCCCUUCGGGGGAAAGAUUUAUCGCCAUUAGAGCGGCCCGCGUCUGAUUAGCUAGUUGGUGAGGUAACGGCUCACCAAGGCGACGAUCAGUAGCUGGUCUGAGAGGAUGACCAGCCACACUGGGACUGAGACACGGCCCAGACUCCUACGGGAGGCAGCAGUGGGGAAUCUUGCGCAAUGGGCGAAAGCCUGACGCAGCCAUGCCGCGUGAAUGAUGAAGGUCUUAGGAUUGUAAAAUUCUUUCACCGGGGACGAUAAUGACGGUACCCGGAGAAGAAGCCCCGGCUAACUUCGUG